rnacentral:rRNA from 1 species
CCUACGGGAGGCAGCAGUGGGGAAUAUUGCACAAUGGGGGAAACCCUGACGCAGCAACGCCGCGUGGAGGAUGAAGUCCCUUGGGACGUAAACUCCUUUCGACCGGGACGAUAAUGACGGUACCGGUGGAGGAAGCCCCGGCUAACUCCGUGCCAGCAGCCGCGGUAAU